rnacentral:rRNA from 1 species
UACGUAGGGUGCGAGCGUUGCCCGGAUUCAUUGGGCGUAAAGGGCGCGUAGGCGGCUCGGCACGUCCGUUGUGAAAUCGCCCGGCUCAACUGGGCGGGGUCAGCGGAUACGGUCGAGCUUGAGCAAGCUAGGGGGCAAUGGAAUUCCCGGUGUAGUGGUGGAAUGCGUAGAUAUCGGGAGGAACAUCAGUGGCGAAGGCGGCUACCUGGCCCAAUACUGACACUCAGGUGCGACAGCGUGGGGAGCAAACAGG